AUUGAACGCUGGCGGCAGGCCUAACACAUGCAAGUCGAACGGUAACAGGAAGCAGCUUGCUGCUUCGCUGACGAGUGGCGGACGGGUGAGUAAUGUCUGGGAAACUGCCUGAUGUAGGGUGAUAACUACUGGAAACGGUAGCUAAUACCGCAUAACGUCGCAAGACCAAAGAGGGGGACCUUAGGGCCUCUUGCCAUCGGAUGUGCCCAGAUGGGAUUAGCUAGUAGGUGGGGUAACGGCUCACCUAGGCGACGAUCCCUAGAUGGUCUGAGGGGAUGACCAGCCACACUGGAACUGAGACACGGUCCAGACUACUACGGGAGGCAGCAGUGGGGAAUAUUGCACAAUGGGCGCAAGCCUGAUGCAGCCAUGCCGCGUGUAUGAAGAAGGCCUUCGGGUUGUAAAGUACUUUCAGCGGGGAGGAAGGGAGUAAAGUUAAUACCUUUGCUCAUUGACGUUACCCGCAGAAGAAGCACCGGCUAACUCCGUG
rnacentral:rRNA from 1 species